GCCGGCGGCACUAGCGCGGUGGUCCCACCUGACCCCAUGCCGAACUCAGAAGUGAAACGCCGUAGCGCCGAUGGUAGUGUGGGGUCUCCCCAUGCGAGAGUAGGGAACUGCCAGCA
rnacentral:rRNA from 1 species